UACGGAGGGUGCAAGCGUUAAUCGGAAUUACUGGGCGUAAAGAGUGCGUAGGCGGUUAUUUAAGUCAGAUGUGAAAGCCCCGGGCUUAACCUGGGAACGGCAUUUGAUACUGGGUAACUCGAGUUUGGGAGAGGCAAGUGGAAUUUCAGGUGUAGCGGUGAAAUGCGUAGAGAUCUGAAGGAACACCAGUGGCGAAGGCGACUUGCUGGCCUAAAACUGACGAUCAGGUACGAAAGCGUGGGGAGCAAACAGG
rnacentral:rRNA from 1 species